AUGGCGGCGGCGGCGGCGCUCGCGGUCACGGACGAGCUGGCCCUGCCGCUUCGCGCGGUGGGGUGCCUGGCGGCGGCCGCCGGGGUCUCGCGGGAGGAGGUCGUCGUCAUCACACAGUGCGCCUCGCCCGGUGGGAAGUUUCCUUUUGAUGAUGCAUCCGUUGGUGCUGUCCUGUCUGUCAUUAAAAAUGUGGAGAGCUUCGGGGAGCAGUUGGUUGCUGAAAUUAGCCGAGUGCUGAAAGCUGGUGGAAUUGUGCUGGUACAGAGCUUCACACCCUCCUCUGAUCAGAAGCUAAACAAUUAUAUCGAGCGCCAACUACUCAUGGGCGGUUUUGUUGAAGUGAACGCUUCUGCUACAAGCUCACAGGAUGGCGUGCAGUCUGUUACUAUCAAGGCAAAGAAGCCAUCUUGGAGUAUGGGUUCUUCCUUCCCCCUGAGAAAAGCAAUAAAGGCUCUUCCAAAGAUUGAAAUCGAUGACGACGAUGAACUGAUUGAUGAAGACAGCCUCUUGACCGAGGAAGACUUGAAGAAACCACAGCUUCCAGUUGGCAGGGCUGAGGCUGAGCAGAAGAUGGAGAAGCUGGGGCUGACUGCAGAACAGAUCGAUAACCCCGUGUCAGCUUGUGGCAGUUGUGGGUUGGGCGAUGCGUUCCGUUGCAGCACUUGCCCAUACAGAGGCCUGGCACCGUUUAAGUUGGGAGAGAAGGUCACCUUGUCUGACAACUUCCUUUUGGUCGACAUAUGA
rnacentral:rRNA from 1 species